rnacentral:rRNA from 1 species
AGUGAACGCUGGCGGUAGGCCUAACACAUGCAAGUCGAACGGCAGCACAGUAAGAGCUUGCUCUUACGGGUGGCGAGUGGCGGACGGGUGAGGAAUACAUCGGAAUCUACUUUUUCGUGGGGGAUAACGUAGGGAAACUUACGCUAAUACCGCAUACGACCUACGGGUGAAAGCAGGGGAUCUUCGGACCUUGCGCGAUUGAAUGAGCCGAUGUCGGAUUAGCUAGUUGGCGGGGUAAAGGCCCACCAAGGCGACGAUCCGUAGCUGGUCUGAGAGGAUGAUCAGCCACACUGGAACUGAGACACGGUCCAGACUCCUACGGGAGGCAGCAGUGGGGAAUAUUGGACAAGGGGCGCAAGCCUGAUCCAGCCAUACGGGGUGGGUGAAGAAGGCCUUGGGGUUGUAAAGCCUUUUUGUUGGGAAAGAAAAGCAGCAGGUUAAUACCCCGCUGUUCUGACGGUACCCAAAGAAUAAGCACCGGCUAACUUCGUG